rnacentral:rRNA from 1 species
GCGAACGGGUGCGUAACAGUGGAAACCUUCCUUCAGGUGGGGAAUAACCCAGUGAAAAUUGGGAAAAUACCGCAUAACAAGACGGGGGCACAUGCUCUAGGAUUCAAAGCAGCAAUGCGUCGGAGGAGGAGCCCGCGCCCGAUUAGCUAGUUGGUGAGGUACGGCUCACCAAGGGAAUGAAUGGUAUCUGGGGUCUAAGAUGGUGGCCGCCCUCGCAGAAAUAAACACCCCCCCCACCACUCCUACGGGAGGCAGCAGUGGGGAAUCUUGCACAAUGGGCGAAAGCCUGAUGCAGCGACGCCGCGUGGGGGAUGAAGCUUCUCGGAGUGUAAACCCCUUUCGACUGGGACGAAUGCCUCGCAAGAGGAGUGACGGUACCAGUAUAAGAAGCCCCGGCUAACUACGUGCCAGCAGCCGCGGUAAGACGUAGGGGGCCAGCGUUGUUCGGAAUUACUGGGUGUAAAGGGUUCGUAGGCGGUGUGGCAAGUUGGGAGUGAAAUCUCUGGGCUCAACCCAGAGGCUGCUUCCAA